AUUGAACGCUGGCGGCAGGCCUAACACAUGCAAGUCGAGCGGUAGAGAGGUGCUUGCAUCUCUUGAGAGCGGCGGACGGGUGAGUAAUGCCUAGGAAUCUGCCUAGUGGUGGGGGAUAACGUUCGGAAACGGACGCUAAUACCGCAUACGUCCUACGGGAGAAAGCGGGGGGAUCUUCGGACCUCGCGCCAUUAGAUGAGCCUAGGUCGGAUUAGCUAGUUGGUGAGGUAAUGGCUCACCAAGGCGACGAUCCGUAACUGGUCUGAGAGGAUGAUCAGUCACACUGGAACUGAGACACGGUCCAGACUCCUACGGGAGGCAGCAGUGGGGAAUAUUGGGACAAAUGGGCGAAAGCCUGAUCCAGCCAUGCCGCGUGUGUGAAGAAGGUCUUCGGAUUGUAAACUGCUUUUGUACGGAACGAAACGGUGAGCUCUAAUACAGUUUGCUAAUGACGGUACCGUAAGAUAAGCACCGGCUAAC
rnacentral:rRNA from 1 species